CGGCGGACGGGUGAGUAAUGCCUAGGAAUCUGCCUGGUAGUGGGGGACAACGUUUCGAAAGGAACGCUAAUACCGCAUACGUCCUACGGGAGAAAGCAGGGACCUUCGGGCCUUGCGCUAUCAGAUGAGCCUAGGUCGGAUUAGCUAGUUGGUGGGGUAAUGGCUCACCAAGGCGACGAUCCGUAACUGGUCUGAGAGGAUGAUCAGUCACACUGGAACUGAGACACGGUCCAGACUCCUACGGGAGGCAGCAGCA
rnacentral:rRNA from 1 species